rnacentral:misc_RNA from 1 species
AACGGUCUAUACCUGCGGUACCUGCGGAGGGAUCAUUAACGAUUUCGGUGUAAAAAACCGUUUUCUACCUAUGUCUACGCGUACCACUUGUUUCCUCGGGGGGCUUGCCCCCCGCUAGGACCCUUUAUCAAACCUUUUUGUAAUAGCAGUCAGCGUCUGAUACUACGUUAAUUAUUAAAACUUUUAGCAACGGAUCUCU